rnacentral:rRNA from 1 species
AACGAACGCUGGCGGCAUGCCUAACACAUGCAAGUCGAACGAGACCUUCGGGUCUAGUGGCGCACGGGUGCGUAACGCGUGGGAAUCUGCCCCUUGGUUCGGAAUAACAGUUAGAAAUGACUGCUAAUACCGGAUGAUGACGAAAGUCCAAAGAUUUAUCGCCGAGGGAUGAGCCCGCGUAGGAUUAGCUAGUUGGUGAGGUAAAGGCUCACCAAGGCGACGAUCCUUAGCUGGUCUGAGAGGAUGAUCAGCCACACUGGGACUGAGACACGGCCCAGACUCCUACGGGAGGCAGCAGUGGGGAAUAUUGGACAAUGGGCGAAAGCCUGAUCCAGCAAUGCCGCGUGAGUGAUGAAGGCCUUAGGGUCGUAAAGCUCUUUUACCAGGGAAUGAUAAUGACAGUACCUGGAGAAUAAGCUCCGGCUAACUCCGUG